rnacentral:rRNA from 1 species
CCUACGGGUGGCAGCAGUGGGGAAUAUUGGACAAUGGGGGCAACCCUGAUCCAGCCAUGCCGCGUGUGUGAAGAAGGCCCUCGGGUUGUAAAGCACUUUCAGUGAGGAAGAACGCCUGGUGGUUAAUACCCAUCAGGAAAGACAUCACUCACAGAAGAAGCACCGGCUAACUCCGUGCCAGCAGCCGCGGUAAUACGGAGGGUGCGAGCGUUAAUCGGAAUUACUGGGCGUAAAGCGCGCGUAGGUGGCUUGAUAAGCCGGUUGUGAAAGCCCCGGGCUCAACCUGGGAACGGCAUCCGGAACUGUCAAGCUAGAGUGCAGGAGAGGAAGGUAGAAUUCCCGGUGUAGCGGUGAAAUGCGUAGAGAUCGGGAGGAAUACCAGUGGCGAAGGCGGCCUUCUGGACUGACACUGACACUGAGGUGCGAAAGCGUGGGUAGCAAACAGGAUUAGAUCCCCAGUAGUC